GAAACGAUUCGCAUUUGGUUUUUUAUUCUUUUUUCAUUUGUAAGAAAGUUUUCGCGCGAAAUUGCUCUACAGUCGGAUAAGGUUCUUCUAUGUCCAAACGACACCAGCGGUUCCCUCCGUCGGACUAGUUCGACGAAGGCUGUACCGUUCGCCGCGAUUGUGCGCGGCACGAUGCGCGAAUACUUUGACAUUCAAAUACUGAAUUUUCUAUUUUCAAAUUAAACUCUAUGGGGUCGCUGACCGCAAUGAAACAGAAAAAUAUACCUAGAUAAAUAACUGAGGAUGUAAGAGAGAAUACGAAGUAUAGAUCGAGAAUUAGAAAAGAAUUCACGAAAAUUGGAACGCUUUUAAUUAUUAUAUUAGAAUAUAUACAAAUAUUUAAAGCCUUAAACAUCCAUAUUGCCCAUAUACCCUUUGCCUAAUGUCUGUCUGAAUAAGGAAGCGGUUCCACCCUAUGGUUCUUUCUUUAAUACUUACCAGUGAAUCAAUAAUGAAGAUUAAUGAAAGCGUCCCAGGCUUUUAAUGUACUUCUGAAUUUGCAAUAUGAAAAAAAAUAAAAUUUGACCUAUUUAAAAAACGGCCAGAAGACAAGGUCUUUAGAAUCAACAUUCAAUAUCAGAGUUUAAGUGAAACAUGAAAAUGCUUACGCAGACAAGGCACGAAUUUAGUGUUGACAUAUUUUUUUGAUAAAAUUCACGUAUCACACCUAUAUGGUGCUGAUAAGGUUAUCAGUUGGGUUUAUUUUCGUUUUUCUAUAACAUUGAUAGACUUUAAUCUAACAUGACCGACCUUGUCUUUGUUUUUAUGAUGUGAUUCAAUUCGUUUCCGAAUCUCUAUAUUAUAAUACGUGAAGCAAAAACUUUGUAUCCCUUUUUACGAAAAUGGCGCGGUCGGAGGAGUAUGAAAUUUUCUACACCUAUAGAGAAUAUAGAGAAGAAGUGCAUAAUGCUAAUAUUUUUUUAAAAUAAUGCAUAAAAGAUACAUUAAAUCCAUAAAGAAAACAUUACACACACUACAUACCACGUAUUUGACGCACACACGCAUGCAUACUAUUUAUUGUCAAACUUUUGUUCUUGACGUCUGUUGUCAAAUUGAGAAUAGAUGAAAUAUUGUUUGUCUUUGUUAAUAUUUUUAUAGUGUAGUGUAGUCUUGGCGAAAUUUGUGAUUACAGAAGUACAAAAUACAAUCAUAAUAGUGUACAAACUUACAAUUCCAAUUAAUUAUAGUCGAAUUUCGACUACUGCGGGGCCACUAGUAUUAUGUAUUCUUCGAGAUUCGAUACCAAAAUAAAUCAGGAUACAUUGUUAGUAUGGUAUGUUAUGAACAAACAGGGGUAUGUUGGCAUCAGUACAGUUGGCCGUUCUGAAUAGAUCACCCAAAAA